UACGUAGGGUGCAAGCGUUGUCCGGAAUUAUUGGGCGUAAAGAGCUCGUAGGCGGUCUGUCACGUCGGCUGUGAAAUCCCCGAGGCUCAACCUCGGGUCUGCAGUCGAUACGGGCAAACUAGAGUAUUGCAGGGGAGACUGGAAUUCCUGGUGUAGCGGUGAAAAUGCGCAGAUAUCAGGAGGAACACCGGUGGCGAAGGCGGGUCUCUGGGCAAUAACUGACGCUGAGGAGCGAAAGCGUGGGGGAGCGAACAGG
rnacentral:rRNA from 1 species